rnacentral:rRNA from 1 species
GACGAACGCUGGCGGCGUGCCUAAUACAUGCAAGUUGAGCGCUGAAGGUUGGUACUUGUACCGACUGGAUGAGCAGCGAACGGGUGAGUAACGCGUGGGGAAUCUGCCUUUGAGCGGGGGACAACAUUUGGAAACGAAUGCUAAUACCGCAUAAAAACUUUAAACACAAGUUUUAAGUUUGAAAGAUGCAAUUGCAUCACUCAAAGAUGAUCCCGCGUUGUAUUAGCUAGUUGGUGAGGUAAAGGCUCACCAAGGCGAUGAUACAUAGCCGACCUGAGAGGGUGAUCGGCCACAUUGGGACUGAGACACGGCCCAAACUCCUACGGGAGGCAGCAGUAGGGAAUCUUCGGCAAUGGACGAAAGUCUGACCGAGCAACGCCGCGUGAGGGAAGAAGGGUUUCGGAUCGUAAAACUCGGUUGGUAGAGAAGAACGUUGGUGAGAGUGGAAAGCUCAUCAAGUGACGGUAACUACACAGAAAGGGACGGCUAACUACGUG